UAUGAUUACCCUGAACGGUGGAUCACUUGGCUCGUGGGUCGAUGAAGAACGCAGCUAAUUGCGCGUCAACUUGUGAACUGCAGGACACAUGAACAUCGACAUUUUGAACGCACAUUGCGGUCCACGGAUCUAAUUCCCGGACCACACCUGGCUGAGGGUCGUUUAUAA
rnacentral:rRNA from 2 species